UACGGGGGGGGCAAGCGUUGUUCGGAAUUACUGGGCGUAAAGGGUUCGCAGGUGGCCAACUCAGUCAGACGUGAAAUCCCUCAGCUCAACUGGGGAACUGCGUCUGAUACUAGAUGGCUCGAGUGCAGGAGAGGAACGCGGAAUUCCAGGUGUAGCGGUGAAAUGCGUAGAUAUCUGGAGGAACACCGGUGGCGAAGGCGGCGUUCUGGACUGCAACUGACACUGAGGAACGAAAGCCAGGGGAGCAAACGGG
rnacentral:rRNA from 1 species